AUUGAACGCUGGCGGCAGGCCUAACACAUGCAAGUCGAGCGGAUGAAGGGAGCUUGCUCCUGGAUUCAGCGGCGGACGGGUGAGUAAUGCCUAGGAAUCUGCCUGGUAGUGGGGGAUAACGUCCGGAAACGGGCGCUAAUACCGCAUACGUCCUGAGGGAGAAAGUGGGGGAUCUUCGGACCUCACGCUAUCAGAUGAGCCUAGGUCGGAUUAGCUAGUUGGUGGGGUAAAGGCCUACCAAGGCGACGAUCCGUAACUGGUCUGAGAGGAUGAUCAGUCAACCGGGAAGUGAGCCGCGGCCCGCACUCCUGCGGGAGGAGGCAGGGGGAAAUUUUGGACAAGGGGCGAAGGCCUGAUCCAGCUAUCCCGUGUGUGUGAAGAAGGUCUUCGGAUGUUAAAGCCUUUUAGUUUGGGAGAAAGGACAGUAAUUUAAUCCCUUGCUUUUUUGACGGUACAAAAAAAAAAAGCCCCGGCUAACUUCGUC
rnacentral:rRNA from 1 species